GCCGAGAGCAGUGGAGACGGGUGUUCUCACCUGGGGGCAGGCCUGCCCACCCAGGGUCAUUGGCAACAUCUGGGGAACCUUCUGGUUGUUGUAACGGGGGUGGAGGGUGCUCCUGGCUUCCAGCAGGCAGAGGCAGUGGGGAGUCGGGAGCAUCCUGGCCGGAGGGGCCGGGGAAGAGGUGCUGUGUGCCCUGGGCUGCCAGGAGCAAGCACGGGUUUAAAACCCUGCUGAGGAUUUUCUUUUUAAUUUUUUCGUGGGAGACACAGAGAGAGAGGCAGAGACACGGGCAGAGGAAGGAGCAGGCCCCAUGCAGGGAGCCCAAUGCAGGACUCAAUCGUGGGUCUCCGGGAUCACACCCUGGGCCAAAGGCAGCCGCUCAACCGCUGAACCACCCAGGGAUCCCUCUGCUGAGGAUUUUAAACACACCCUGCUGAGGCCUCCCCUGGCCAAGCCUGAGGGGGGCCCUCUGAUGCCCACAGAAGACACUCAGGCGAGCACCACUAUAGCACCUAUGGCUGAAGGGGGAACUGAGGCCCAGAGGAGCUAUCCCCACCUGCCAGAAGCAGGCAAAGGCCAGCAAAGAGCUGCAGCUCUGGGGCCAGCACCACCUCCCUGGCCUCCUGGGCCGCUGCCCCAGCAGAGCCUCAGCCGCCGCCAAGGUAACUGUGCCGGGCACCCCUGAGCACUAACUGCUUCCAGAUGCCCUGCCCGGGGCAGGAGGGGGCCAUGCAGGCUGG
rnacentral:lncRNA from 1 species